rnacentral:misc_RNA from 1 species
UCACAGUAUCAAGCUUGGCUUGUUGUUGGGCCCUCUGUCACUUGGUGGCAGGUCCGAAAGACAAUGGCCGGUGGAACAGACUCCACAUGCAACGAGCUGACUACAGCACGCAUCUGGCAGUUGUGUGACCCGGUUCUACACCUCUUCUUUCUCAA